CGACCCCAGGAUGGGCGGGGUGACCCGCUGAGUUUAAGCAUAUCAAUAAGCGGAGGAGAAGAAACUUACAAGGAUUCCCCUAGUAACGGCGAGCGAACCGGGAUUUGCCCAGCAUGGGAAUCGGGUUGCUAUGCGGCUCGA
rnacentral:rRNA from 2 species